UACAGAGGGGGCAAGCGUUGUUCGGAAUUACUGGGCGUAAAGGGCGCGUAGGCGGCCUUCUAAGUUGAACGUGAAAUCCCCGGGCUCAACCCGGGAACUGCGUCCAAGACUGGGAGGCUAGAAUCCGGGAGAGGGAUGUGGAAUUCCAGGUGUAGCGGUGAAAUGCGUAGAUAUCUGGAGGAACAUCGGUGGCGAAGGCGAGUCUCUGGGAUGAUGCUGACGCUGAGGCGCGAAAGCCAGGGGAGCAAACGGG
rnacentral:rRNA from 1 species